AAGGGCACCACAAGAACGCGUGGAGCAUGUGGCUUAAUUUGACUCAACGCGGGAAAUCUUACCGGGUCCGGACACACUGAGGAUUGACAGGUGAUUCUUUGGUUAAUUUUAAUUAGCCCAAUUUAAAUAUGCUAGUCCUUUCAUGAUUGUGUGAUAGGUGGUGCAUGGCCGUUCUUAGUUCGUGGAGUAAUCUGUCUGCUUAAUUGCGCCAAUAAUGGAGCAAGCCUUAAGUUGUAAUCCAUUGUUUCUCACGAAACUUUGGAUCUAUGACGGCGAACGCUCCGAAGGCAACGAACGAGACCGCAACCUUUAGUUGCCUCCAUUGUUUUUAUAACUUUUUCGAGGCAAACUAGAGGGACCGCUGGAAUUCUGUAACCCAGAGGAAGGUUGCGGCAAUAACAGGUCUGUGAUGCCCUUAGAUGUUCCGGGCCGCACACGUGCGACAAUGAUCUAUGCAGUAAGCAUAUCAACAAGUCUGUACAUUUGUGUAUACUUCGGUAUACUGUACGGCAAGCCUGCUUCGAAAGUAAGUUGGUAAUCAAUUCGAAGUAUAGAUUUCCAUUUGCAUAUUUCUCUUCAACCAUCCAUUGGUUAAGAGGUGCAUUCAUCGAAUUCAUGGUGGGGACAGACCUUUGUUAAUUGUUGGUCUCGUUUCAACUAGGAAUGCCUUGUACGGGUCUUGGUCAACAAACCACCCGGAAUACGUCCCUGCCCUUUGUAC
rnacentral:rRNA from 1 species